AUUACAUUCCUAUGUAUCAGCUUGCCCUGUAACCUCAAGUUUUUAGUGCUGAAAUGAGUAAAACAGCUGUCCUUUGCAUUCAACUUCUAGUAACGUUCAGCAUCUUGUGGACUUGUAGCCCUGAGUAAUAAAAUACUUGGGUUACAGUAGUACUUCAGAGGGGUUAGUAGUCCCUUCAGUGGCACUAGUUUCCUUAGUGCUGUGUGCCAGGGUGUCCAGGAUUACAAGAACACAGUGACUGCUUAAUUUGGAAGUGUAUUUCAUUCCAAAAUGCAUUUCCUCUGGGUGAUUUCAUAUAUCCUUAGUUCAGUUGGUCUCUUAAUGUUCUGGAAGUUGUUCAGAUGUAACAGGCUACAAAUAGGCCAGUUUCAAAACGCAGGCAAUGCAUGUAACAGGAAUCCAUUCACAUCCACCUGCUUACAUGAAAAGAUGCAGUUUAAUAGUUGAUCUAAAUAGUCAACUGAAAAGUAAUUUCCCAGCUUGUUAGUUCAGCUUUUUUUAUGAUGGACAAACUAGCGCUGCAAAGAUGUUGAAUGUCAUUGAUCUGUAAAAAGCAUUUCAUUCUACAGAAAAGUGGUAUUGGACAUAAGCAGAUAUUUUUGCAUAACUAAUUUAAAUCCAAAUCUCUGCUUUUGUAGCAUUUAGAGUUUCAGUUGCGGAUCUGACUGGUCUAAUAACUUUUUGGUUUCUGCUAUUGUGCAGAAAUUUGUAAAUGCCUACUUUAUUUUUAUCCCUUUGGUCAUGUAGAUAACCUAGAUAAUCUUGUGAAAAGUAAUAAGUAUCAAAAUUAUGCUUCAGCUUAAUGAUGCUUUAUGAAGUGAAAUAAUGAAUAGGGACAGGAGUGUUUUAUUGAAUAGUAUGUAGGGGUUUUAAACUGGUGAAAUGUGGUAAUGACAUGACAGUUUCAGUGUUGGGAGGCUCUAACAGCUUCACUUCUUAAGGUUAGCCAUGCAAAAGUAGAAAAAAAUUGGUAUAAUAUAUGAGACUUCCAGGAAAUUAAUCAGUGACUUUCACAAAAUGCCUUGUAAAGAAAACUCUUCUCUAGUGUAGGUAGUGUGACCAAGAGGAACAAUUUUGGAACCAGGAAACUGUGCCACAACUGUUUUGCUCCCUCUGUGUCAUACAGUAAGAAUUGUGUGAAAGCAAUAUAAGGAAUAAGGUCAAAAGUAGCCAUGAAAGUAAAGAAAAACAGAAGUGUAUUUAACCCAACAUAAGGAAUGUAUUUGUGAGAUCCUUGUUCCUUUGUUUUCUCUCAUCUCUUUAAAUCUUGUAUUUAUUCUCUUUAAUCUUUUGGAAGAAAAAGAAAAGGUCACAACAAAUAAACAGGACAGCCCCAAAGCGGCUGCAGACUUGAUAUCCCCAGAAGUGAUUUGUCAUUGUUGGGGUUAUACAGCUUGGUAGUAAGGAAAAUUUUUCUUCCUCUUUAACAUCUUGCAUAUCUUCUUAAAGCUGCUUCCCUCCCUUUCAUAUUCUGGCAGGUAGAGAGCUUGCUUUUGUGAUUGAGGGUUUCUGGUGUGUGUUUCUGUGCUGUGUUGGAGUAGAUGUGAUGGGUUGUGGAGCAGUUGUUCCCACUUCAGCCAUCUCUUCUAAAUCCCAGACUGUUGACUUGCUCUUUGUAAUGUCACUUGAAGAGCUUCAGAGUAACUUGAAAGGAUUUGCUGUUCUCUUUCAGAUGUGAAAACAUCUACUGGUGUGGUUCUCUGCUCUUGAUCCUCCAUUUCGUUUGUCAGGAGCUGUGUGGGAAAAGAUCUUGCAGUAAUUCCAUUGAAAAUUGCAUGUUUGUUCAGCAAUUACCCCCCUCCCCGCCCCCCUUUUUUUUUCCUAACAAUUCAACUGUCCUUUAAGUGAGAACUUGUGGAAACAGGUCAAACAUGUUUUACAGGUAUACUCAGUGCUUAAUUUUAUGGGAUAAUGUGGGUAGUACAAGAUAUAUGUAGCUUCAUUUUUCAAAAACAGAUGUGAAGGGAAAGAAUUUGAAAGGUAAUUACCUGCUGAGCUGGGUAUUUGGCUUACCAAGAGCUGAUUCAUAUGCACUUCAGAUUGUCAGCUUGUUAAUUUUUUUUGUUUGUUUCAUUGUUUUUUUUACAUUGGUAGAGUAAUUGCUGUUUAUAAAGAUAAAGAGAUGGCCUCACUUGAAGUCACUGAAAUACAAAGAAGCAUGUUUUCAGUUUCUUCUUACAAGUUUUAUCUGCUAGUGCAGGCAGCUGUGCUCUUUCCUUCCUUAACAGCUGACUUCAGGCUGUGGAGCUCAACCAAUUUUGGAGGACCUUUAUCUCAAGGAUGGGAAGUUCUUGAGAGCUGCAAAAGCAUGAGCAGCUGGACAAAAAAGAGAGAACCUUAGUAAUAACCCAAGGAGAGAACCUGUAGCAUGAACUCAUUGUGCUUUGCUGGAAAGAAGAACAUGCAUGCAGGACAGGAGUUGGGCAACUUUGAUCAGAGCUUGGCAUUUAUUAGAGGUCAUAUUUCUUCUUUUAGUAGAUGGGAUUUCUGGAUCAAACACUUGUGUUUUAUCUGAGAAGGCACUUCCUUUCUAGCAGGCAAAGAGCAGAAUUUGGUAAUUCUCCCUUCUGCUUGUUAAAAAAAAAGAAUAAAUGUUUUUUAGUUCAGUUUGUUAUGCAUAGUUCAGGUUUUUAGCAGGAAAAAACAAUACCGUGCUUGACAAGGAACACAGGAGAGAGUACGGACACUAAAAAUACAGCCAUGCUUUCUGCAGUUCUCCAUUUCAGACUCCUUUUGUGCAGCCAUGUGUGAGAAAUUCAAAUCCAGAAUGUCUUGCAUUCUUAACGUCACCUCAUUUUUCUUCCUCUAUUACAGACUUACAAGCAGUUCUGGUUCAGUCUUUUUUCCACAGAAAAAUCUGAUUCAGGGGGAACCCUCUGAAUGAAAAAUUCAUGUGUAUUUAUUCCCUCACUUUACUGCAGCUAGUUAUGGCCUCCUUUCCUCUUCCCACAGUUUUGAUGCAGAUGCAGUGUAGAAUUUUUAACGCAAGUAGAUGUUAGGACAGGUCUUGGAAAAUAAAAAUGGUCCACAAUGUGGAAGGGACCUUGAGAGGUCAUUUAUUUAUCCUUUUGUCAUUUAAUCCUUAUGAAGAAUGGUUUAUCUGCCUAGAGAUAACUUGAUCUAACUUGUUCUUUAAAAUCUGUGAUUAUACAGAAUCCCUCCCCAGAAAUGAAUUUCAAUGCUUCAGUUGUUGCUUCUAGCAAAAAAAGUCUGCUUUUCUUCCCUCCUUCUUCCCACCUGCCAAGCAUCAGCAAAUUUCUCACACUGAAGUAGGCUGGGGGUGAAGGAGAUAUCAGUGGAAACAGUGAUGGAAGGUGGAAGACAAGGGAGUCAAUCCAGUGCAGCUUUGUGCUAUUUUUCAUUCAGUUACGAGAGCUGUUCUUCAAUUAUUCAUGUCAUAUGCAUCACAUUAUUUCCCUUCCAUUUAGGUUGGACUCGCGUCUGCAGUCUCUGUGCUAUUCUGUUGCAAUGCAGAGUAGUUCAGAAGCAUCUGUAAAGGAAACUAGUGAUUGAUCAUCUGCUAGACCUUCUGCUCUUAGCUGGAGUAAAAGCAGUUUAGGAGCAAGUGGUAUGGUGCCAUGUCUCUGCAGUCCUGAAUAAAGCUUGGGGUGUUUGUCAUGCUGUCAGCCUUGGAAGCCCCUGCAGAGUGAGCUCGUGACUGGCGCUGAAGUAAUGGUAGCAGAGAAGAAAGGAAGGAAAACCAAAAGGAUGGUACAAGUGGUGGCGUGAGAGCACUUCGGCAGUUUCAGUAACUGUAAAAAGCUGAACUUGGAGUCUGUAAGAGGGAACCAAUAUAUGAAGGAACAAGCAGAAACAGAUUGAAAGGGUAGGGAAUGGAAAUAUUUCACCUUUCCAUAAAUUGCUUAGUUUCUGAGGUGAAAUUUUUUUUCACGUGUGUGAUUCAGUAAUACUGGGGCACAAAGACACUAACAUUGGUGUUUUAAGCGUCAUGCAGAAUUGACUGGUAGGUCAGGCAGGUCUCUGACCUACCAAGAACCUUACUUACCUUACUUUAACCUACUCUAAAUACAGGGAGAAAGAAGUAUUCUUCUUACUAGUACAAGAGAUCCUUCUGCUAAGCUGGGCAGUCUGAUGAUGAGUUAUUUUUGUAACAGUAAUGAUACCUCAUCUUUCUGUCUUGGACACAUUAAGAAUGGAAAUACAUCAUAUAAGCGUAGUUAUUACAGUAAAUUACUUUUAUGUGCACUUUAUGUGCAGUUCCACUUUUAAGAAGUUGUAACAUCUGCCUCAAUUCUGACCACGUUCAUGUGACAGUAAAAUGUAUUUGAGCACAUUUGUGAUCGUGUAACAAUAACCUUUUCCAUACAUGUAGAGCUGCAGCAAUGCUUCUGACUCUAAAGGAAUGUACUAGGACACUGUACUGUGUAAAUAGCUUAUAUAGCUUUCUAUAUAAAGCAGGAAAAACUCAAUGAUACUUGGAAAUUAUGAUGGAAGAAAUUAUUCUGUUACAUGUGAGACAUAGCGUUUUUUCCAUUGAUCUUGCUCUUCUUGUACAAAAUACAAUAAACCAUAUACCCUUUGACAGCACACCUGAGAUGCACAGUUGCUUUUCACUGCAAAAGUUUUGACAAAUAAGCUGUUUCCCAGUAGUUUCUCUAAUAGCUAAGCCCAUUUCUUACUCUGUUCUUUCCAUGCUGCGGCAUGAAAAAUCACCUUUGGAGAAGGCCUGGAAAACUUCAGUCCACAGGGAAAGCUUUUAUGGCUGUGAAUAGUAUUGGAAUGGAAAUACUUCAGUAACCUUUCUGAAAGUCAUUGCUUCUACUGGUCUAUAAUUAGCCACACAGGAAAAACAAAAUUCUCUUUCAAGUGUAGUAGAA